AGCUGAGUGGUAGAGCACGUGUUUUGCAUGCAUGAGGCUCUGGGUUCGAUCCCCAG
rnacentral:tRNA from 1 species